UACAGAGGUGGCAAGCGUUGUUCGGAAUUACUGGGCGUAAAGGGCGCGUAGGCGGCCAUCUAAGUCAGACGUGAAAUCCCCCGGCUUAACCUGGGAACUGCGUCUGAUACUGGACGGCUUGAGUAUGGGAGAGGGAUGUAGAAUUCCAGGUGUAGCGGUGAAAUGCGUAGAUAUCAGGAGGAACACCGGUGGCGAAGGCGGGUCUCUGGGCAGUAACUGACGCUGAGGAGCGAAAGCGUGGGGAGCGAACAGG
rnacentral:rRNA from 1 species